rnacentral:rRNA from 1 species
AGAGUUUGAUCAUGGCUCAGAACGAACGCUGGCGGCAGGCCUAACACAUGCAAGUCGAGCGCCCAGCAAUGGGAGCGGCAGACGGGUGAGUAACACGUGGGAACCUUCCCUAUAGUACGGAAUAGCCCAGGGAAACUUGGAGUAAUACCGCAUACGCCCGAGAGGGGAAAGAUUUAUCGCUAUAGGAUGGGCCCGCGUAGGAUUAGCUAGUUGGUGAGGUAAUGGCUCACCAAGGCGACGAUCCUUAGCUGGUCUGAGAGGACGACCAGCCACACUGGGACUGAGACACGGCCCAGACUCCUACGGGAGGCAGCAGUGGGGAAUAUUGGACAAUGGGCGCAAGCCUGAUCCAGCCAUGCCGCGUGAGUGAUGAAGGCCUUAGGGUUGUAAAGCUCUUUUGCCGGGGACGAUAAUGACGGUACCCGGAGAAUAAGUCCCGGCUAACUUCGUG